rnacentral:lncRNA from 1 species
GUUGAUUUGACAUCACUUGAAAUUUUGCUGUCCCUUCUUAGCAAAAGAUAUUACAUUGUGGAACGAUCUCGGUUCCCAGUGUAUAAAAAUCAGUUAACAUCUCUUUUAAGGUGUUACUGUUGAGAAGCUUUGGUCCUCAGAUUUAUCUUGUGGUUUAUAUUAUAAUGGUAUGUAUAAAACAUUUAAAACUUGUGGAAAUUAUAGUUUCUAUAUAUUAUAUACAGACAUUGGAAAUGGGUGUUCCCAAAGCACAUGUGACUCGGACAACAAAACAGGUACAUGAAGUGCAGUAAGCCACCUGGAAAGACUGCAUGUGCUUUAUCUUAAGCCACUACAGCUGAAAAUGCUGCCCUCAUACACAUGUAAAUGCCAGAAUAAAGAAUGCAAAUUUAAAUUUUAAUGCUUUUAACACUACUUAAAAGAAGCUUACAUUCUUUAAUUUUAAUAUGUAACUAUAAGAUGAUCAUAUAACUUGCUCUAAUUUUAGUAAUAAGAAAAGGAAAUAAGUGAAUAGACUAUUACAGUAUUCCUCUGUUGGACUGCUUAUCCAAAAUAGUUUGCAUUUCUAGUUAUCAUUAAGAAAUAAUGGUGCAAUUUUUAUGUAAUUUUUAAAUGUAAGAAAGCAGUCCUUAACCAAUUUUUUUUUAACUUUUUUUUUUUUAAGAGAGACAGAAUUUUUUAAUAUUUAUUUGUUUUAGUUCUUGGCAGACACAAUAUCUUUGUAUGUGGUGCUGAGGAUCGAACCUGGGCCGCACGCAUGCCAGGCUAGCGCGCUACCACUUGAGCCACAUCCCCAGCCCCCUUAACCAAUUUUUAUCUCACCCACUAUGUGUAAAAUGUCUGUUAUCUUAUAAAUAAUACUGUUAUAAAGUAAAAGAGUUGGUGAAAUAUUGUUUCCAAUACUUCCUAAGAUCUCUUCUUGAUAUCCAGUUUUGUAACUCCUUGCACUUUCCAGUCUAUCUUGUUUAUAUCAUUUCCAAGUUCUUUCAUUUCCUUUCCACCCAUUCUGUGGAGUCUAGAUUCUCCUUGACAGUGUCCUUUUCACCUGCCUCUCAAAGUAGCUAACAGGUCGGCAGCCAUAGGACCAGGUAGACUACUAGCCCAGAGACAGGUCUUGGUUUGCCUAUACAUAUGUUGGUUUUGGUUAGAGGUUUUUGUUAUUUAUUUAUUUAUUUAUUGCCCUCCCCCCCAAAAAAAUUUACUUGCCAACAUUAAAAAUCUAAAGGGUAAACUUGAUCUUCAUGAAGUCUGCUCAGUUCAAAGAUCAGAGUAUCUAGAAAGCUCAAGCACAUGUUUUCAGAGGAGCCAUCAACUAAAACUGAAAAACUAUUCCUAUUACUGCUUCCCCAUCCUGUCUUGCUUUUGUUCGCUCCUCUCCUGGCUCCUGUAUUGCUUGUCUGUCCUAAUCAGAGUGAUGAUGUGACUCUUCAGACACCAAAUUGCCUCCUCAAGGGGGAUCAUGUAGAAUAGAUUUUAAUGAUUUUCCUCCUGAAAAAUGAGAUGAAUAUGGUUUCUGAAUUAAUCAAACAUCAGUCACUGUGAUUCAUACGUGCUGUGUUUUGGUGGAGUGAGAUACCUAUUGAAGUGAAGGCAGUAGAUAUUUAAAUGUUCUUCCUAUUGUGAUUUUGUUUAAUUAUUAUCUGCUGCUGUUUUCAUAGCAACUCUUGGUGAUGUUAGAAAGUAGUACUAAUUGAACUUAAGAAUUACAUGUCUAACAGAAAACGUUAGUGAUUCAUAAAGCCUGGAGUCAAAUUUUUCUGGAAAUGUGUAUUAAAGUUAGAUUAUGCUAAUUAAGUGCUGCUUUGUGAAAUAUGUGCACCUUCAUAAAAGUAUCACCUGUUUGUGCUGCGGUUCCAGUUUUUUAGAACAUCUCUUUGAAUUAAAAUAUACUGUUAUCCCUGUUUUCUUAAUUUAUGUUCUAUAUAUAUUGGCUGCUUAACUGGAUUUUAGUGAACGUUAUGGGGAAAACGAAUAUGAAGAAAAGAAGAAAACAAUUGGCAAAUAAGUAUUUUCUUGCAGGAAAUUUGAGUUAUUAAAAUGUCAGUAUUAAAAAUUUCAAGAUGACUUAUCUAACUUAGAACUUGUGUCAGGGUUGGGAGUAAGUAAAAAUGCCUUGACUGUCCUGGAAACCUAAGUUUUAAAAGCUGCUCUUACCUGGUAUUUUAACUGAUGUGUUCUACAAAAUUAGACCAACAGUACAAAAGGAGAGUUGACUUAACAGUCUACAUUGAUAAAUGAAAAUUUUCUUCAUUGUUUUCUCACUGAUGUAAAAGGACAUUUAAAAAUUGUUCAAAAGUUUAAACCUACUAGGUUUCCAGAUGGUAGAAGAGUGGAACACUUGAAGUGGGUGAGUGGAGUGCAGUGGGAGAACAUCUGAAACAGGGUUUAAAUUGGCCACAGGAAAGAAGCAGAAUUUGACACAAUCUAGAAGUGGUCUGUCCUCUAAUAAGAUUUUGUUCAGUACCUCCCAUUUCUCUUUGGGUUUAUAAUGAAAGCAACCGGCAUGGAGAGAAACAAAAGGGAAAAUGUAAUAGAUGUUUUAUGGUGUGUCUUCCUAAAGGGCAUUGCCUUUUCCUUGAAUUGUGGGCAAGUCUUUGUAACAGAGAUUUGUCACAAAUGACAUGCACUACUCCACCGAUACGGUGUAUGCCUUUAAGCAAGUAAAUGCCAAGUGGCUUGUAAAUGCCCUGAUUCCUACCUGCUCCUUG